rnacentral:rRNA from 1 species
GACGUAGGGCGCGAGCGUUGUCCGGAUUUAUUGGGCGUAAAGAGCUCGUAGGCGGCUUGUUGCGUCGACCGUGAAAACCCGGGGCUCAACUUCGGGCUUGCGGUCGAUACGGGCGGGCUAGAGUUCGGUAGGGGAGACUGGAAUUCCUGGUGUAGCGGUGAAAUGCGCAGAUAUCGGGAGGAACACCCGUGGCGAAGGCGGCUCACUGGGCUGACCUUGACGCUGAGGCGCGAAGGCGUGGGGAGCGAACGGG